UACGGAGGGUGCAAGCGUUAUCCGGAUUCACUGGGUUUAAAGGGUGCGUAGGUGGGCAGGAAAGUCAGUGGUGAAAUCUCCGGGCUUAACCCGGAAACUGCCGUUGAUACUAUUUGUCUUGAAUAUUGUGGAGGUAGGCGGAAUAUGUCAUGUAGCGGUGAAAUGCUUAGAUAUGACAUAGAACACCAAUUGCGAAGGCAGCUUACUACACAAUGAUUGACGCUGAGGCACGAAAGCGUGGGGAUCAAACAGG
rnacentral:rRNA from 1 species